AGGAGGCACCAUCAUGGGAGUCCACACCUGCCACAAGGAACCCAGUGCCAGAAACUCAAGAGCCAGGAAAUUGAUCUAAAGCUGUUGGUCAAGCGGUACAUGUUUCUGGCCAGAGGAACCAACUCCACCUUCAACCAAGUUGUGCUGUAGAGGAUAUUCAUGAGUGGCAGCAACAGGCCAGAUGAUCAAGAAAAUGAAGUUUCCUGGCCAAGAACACAAAAUGAAUGGUUGUGGGGAUCAUAAUUGGAGGGCAAGGUCCUGACCUGGACGCCCCCAAAGUCUAUGCAUUGUCCUGCUCUUUCAUCCUCACAAGGACCAAGAAAUAUACAAGCAUUUCAGUAAGGCCCCAGGUACCUGCACAGCUACUCCAAACCCUACACCAGAGGCCAAGAGGCCAGCUGUACUACAAAAACUAACCGGAUCCUGUCAUUAUUAA
rnacentral:lncRNA from 1 species